GACGAACGCUGGCGGCGUGCCUAAUACAUGCAAGUAGAACGCUGAAGGAGGAGCUUGCUUCUCUGGAUGAGUUGCGAACGGGUGAGUAACGCGUAGGUAACCUGCCUGGUAGCGGGGGAUAACUAUUGGAAACGAUAGCUAAUACCGCAUAAGAGUAGAUGUUGCAUGACAUUUGCUUAAAAGGUGCAAUUGCAUCACUACCAGAUGGACCUGCGUUGUAUUAGCUAGUUGGUGGGGUAACGGCUUACCAAGGCGACGAUACAUAGCCGACCUGAGAGGGUGAUCGGCCACACUGGGACUGAGACACGGCCCAGACUCCUACGGGAGGCAGCAGUGGGGAAUCUUCGGCAAUGGACGGAAGUCUGACCGAGCAACGCCGCGUGAGUGAAGAAGGUUGUCGGAUCGUAAAGCUCUGUUGUAAGAGAAGAACGAGUGUGAGAGUGGAAAGUUCACACUGUGACGGUAUCUUACCAGAAAGGGACGGCUAACUACGUG
rnacentral:rRNA from 1 species